rnacentral:rRNA from 1 species
GGAGUCUAGCAUGUGCGCGAGUCAUUGGGACUCAGCGAAACCUAAAGGCGAAAUGAAAGUGAACGUCCGCCUUAGCGCGGACGGAGGGAGGAUGGGCCGCGCUCGGUCGCGGCCCCGCACUCCCGGGGCGUUUCGUUCUCAUCGCGAGAAGAGGCGCACCCAGAGCGUACACGCUGGGACCCGAAAGAUGGUGAACUAUGCCUGGUCAGGACGAAGUCAGGGGAAACCCUGAUGGAGGUCCGUAGCGAUUCUGACGUGCAAAUCGAUCGUCGGAACUGGGUAUAGGGGCGAAAGACUAAUCGAACCAUCUAGUAGCUGGUUCCCUCCGAAGUUUCCCUCAGGAUAGCUGGCGCUCGCUUUUGCGAGUCUCAUCCGGUAAAGCGAAUGAUUAGAGGCAUUGGGGUCGAAACGGCCUCAACCUAUUCUCAAACUUUAAAUGGGUGAGAACUCCGGCUUGCUCGAACUAGAAGCCGCGAGUUUUGUGUGUAAUUCUUAAAAACAAUAACGAACACGGAUCAGAGUGCCAAGUGGGCCACUUUUGGUAAGCAGAACUGGCGCUGUGGGAUGAACCAAACGCAGAGUUAAAGCGCCUAAAUCGACGCUCAUGGGAUACCAUGAAAGGCGUUGGUAACUUAAGACAGCAGGACGGUGGCCAUGGAA